rnacentral:rRNA from 1 species
GACGAACCGAGCGAACGUUGUUCGGAAUCACUGGGCUUAAAGGGCGCGUAGGCGGGCUGCCAAGUCCGUGGUGAAAUCCCCCGGCUCAACCGGGGAAGGGCCUCGGAUACUGGCGGCCUCGAGGGGGGUAGGGGCGUGCGGAACUGUGGGUGGAGCGGUGAAAUGCGUUGAUAUCCACAGGAACUCCGGUGGCGAAGGCGGCACGCUGGACCUCAUCUGACGCUGAGGCGCGAAAGCCAGGGGAGCGAACGGG